UACGAAGGGGGCUAGCGUUGUUCGGAAUCACUGGGCGUAAAGGGUGCGUAGGCGGGUCUUUAAGUCAGGGGGGAAAUCCUGGAGCUCAACCCCAGAACUGCCUUUGAUACUGAGGAUCUUGAGUUCGGGAGAGGUGAGUGGAACUGCGAGUGUAGAGGUGAAAUUCGUAGAUAUUCGCAAGAACACCAGUGGCGAAGGCGGCUCACUGGCCCGAUACUGACGCUGAGGCACGAAAGCGUGGGGAGCAAACAGG
rnacentral:rRNA from 1 species